rnacentral:rRNA from 1 species
UUGGUGGGGUAAAGGCCUACCAAGGCGACGAUCUAUAGCUGGUCUGAGAGGACGAUCAGCCACACUGGGACUGAGACACGGCCCAGACUCCUACGGGAGGCAGCAGUGGGGAAUAUUGGACAAUGGGCGCAAGCCUGAUCCAGCAAUACCGCGUGUGUGAAGAAGGCCUUCGGGUUGUAAAGCACUUUCAAUUGGGAGGAAAACCUGCCGGUCAAUACCCGGCAGCUUGACAUUACCUUUAGAAGAAGCACCGGCUAACUCC